UACGGAGGGUGCAAGCGUUAUCCGGAUUCACUGGGUUUAAAGGGUGUGUAGGCGGGCAGGUAAGUCAGUGGUGAAAUCUCCGAGCUUAACUCGGAAACUGCCAUUGAUACUAUUUGUCUUGAAUUUUGUUGAGGUGGGCGGAAUAUGUCAUGUAGCGGUGAAAUGCAUAGAUAUGACAUAGAACACCGAUUGCGAAGGCAGCUCACUAAGCAAGUAUUGACGCUGAGGCACGAAAGCGUGGGGAUCAAACAGG
rnacentral:rRNA from 1 species